UACGUAGGCAGCAAGCGUUGUUCGGAAUUAUUGGGCGUAAAGAGUGUGUAGGCGGUGCUCCAAGUCUGUUGUGAAAUCCCCCGGCUUAACCGGGGAACUGCGCCCUAAACUGUGUGGCUGGAGUGAGAUAGGGGUGUGUGGAACUUCCGGUGGAGCGGUGAAAUGUGUUGAUAUCGGAAGGAACGCCGGUGGCGAAAGCGACACACUGGGUCUCAACUGACGCUGAGGCACGAAAGCCAGGGGAGCGAACGGG
rnacentral:rRNA from 1 species